UGGGCCUACGGGACGCAGCAGUGGGGAAUAUUGCACAAUGGGGGAAACCCUGAUGCAGCAACGCCGCGUGAGUGAAGAAGUCAUUCGUGAUGUAAAGCUCUAUCAGCAGGGAAGAAAAUGACGGUACCUGAGUAAGAAGCCCCGGCUAACUACGUGCCAGCAGCCGCGGUAAUACGUAGGAUGCGAGCGUUAUCCGGAAUUACCGGGUGUAAAGGGAGCGCAGGCGGGACUGCAAGUUGGAUGUGAAACACCGCAGCUUAACUGCGGAGCUGCCUCCAAAACUGUAGUUCUUGGGUGGA
rnacentral:rRNA from 1 species